UACAGAGGUCUCAAGCGUUGUUCGGAUUCAUUGGGCGUAAAGGGUGCGUAGGCGGCGCGGUAAGUCGGGUGUGAAAUCCUGGAGCUCAACUCCAGAACUGCCUUUGAUACUGGCGGUCUCGAGUCCGGGAGAGGUGAGUGGAACUGCGAGUGUAGAGGUGAAAUUCGUAGAUAUUCGCAAGAACACCAGUGGCGAAGGCGGCUCACUGGCCCGGUACUGACGCUGAGACGCGAAAGCGUGGGGAGCGAACAGG
rnacentral:rRNA from 1 species